rnacentral:lncRNA from 1 species
UCAAAACCUCUCAUCUCAAAUUCGGCCAGCAUGGGUUCAUCAUGCAAACUUGAGUUCUAAACAUGGAAAAUGAAAAAGAAAGCAUGGGUAAUGUAAAUCACAAGAUAAAAUCACAAAAUUUUACCUUUAUUAGCUUAAUCCCUUGAAAUCCCACACUUUUUCUUCAAUUUUCCCACCUAGGGUUUGUGUUCUUUCUUUUCUUUCUUUGUUCUUCCUUUGGUUCUUGUUUUGGC